rnacentral:rRNA from 1 species
AGCUCCAAUAGCGUAUAUUAAAGUUGUUGCAGUUAAAAAGCUCGUAGUUGAAUUUUGGAUUUGGCUGUUGUUGGUCGGCCGUAUAGGUCUGUACUCUUCUGGCCAAAUCUUUCCUUCUGGAGGACUAUCAUGCCAUUUACUUGGUGUGGUAGCGAUCCAGGACUUUUACCUUGAAAAAAUUAGAGUGUUUAAAGCAGGCAUACGCUUGAAUACAUUAGCAUGGAAUAAUAGAAUAGGACUUUGGUUCUAUUUUGUUGGUUUCUAGGACCGAAGUAAUGAUUAAUAGGGACAGUUGGGGGCAUUAGUAUUUAAUUGUCAGAGGUGAAAUUCUUGGAUUUAUGAAAGACUAACUUCUGCGAAAGCAUUUGCCAAGGAUGUUUUCA